rnacentral:rRNA from 1 species
UACGGGGGGGGGCAAGCGUUGUUCGGAAUUACUGGGCGUAAAGGGCUCGUAGGCGGCCAACUAAGUCAUACGUGAAAUCCCUCGGCUUAACCGGGGAACUGCGUCUGAUACUGGAUGGCUUGAGUUCGGGAGAGGGAUGCGGAAUUCCAGGUGUAGCGGUAAAAUGCGUAGAUAUCUGGAGGAACACCGGUGGCGAAGGCGGCAUCCUGGACCGAUACUGACGCUGAGGAGCGAAAGCCAGGGGAGCAAACGGG